UGUAGAAUUCCUUGAUAGCAGCCAUAGACAUGUCCCGCAGACGUUCUUCUGACCAAACCUUCUCAGAAGCAAAAUUCUGUGUCGAAAUUGGCCCUCCACUUCUCACAGGUGGUGAAGCAGGCCGAGAAGUAUCAAAUCCACGAUCCCUACUCCCAUAAGUCAAGUUCCUUUCUGGUGCACUUGCUUGAUCAUGUUGACUAUAAAAUCGAUCGGGCAUAUAUUUGGGCAUAAGCUCCUCUCUUGAAGCAUAAGGGGCACGUUCAGGCAAACCAUAGCCAUUUUGGGCAUGUGUCAUCCUUCGAGAAUCUCCAAAAUUUGGCACAUUAUCAGUGAAUGGAAUGCUUGGCGCAGCAGGUUGGCCCCUAGAAGACAUUCCCUUAGCAAGACCACCUUGGGGCCCAAGUGUGAUUGGAUCAUCACCAAGAGGCCUCUGGGUCAGGGGAAGUGAUAAUGUCCUAUUCUCGAAAGAAUGUCUCUCAUCCACCCGUACGUCCUGCAUGCCAAAGCCACGGACCUGUGGAGACACAGGACGGAAACCACCCAUCUGAGAGCCUGGAGAAGACAACAUACUCCCUCUUGGAGCAAAAUCCAUUGGUUGACCCCUUCUAGCAGAAACACCCAAACUAGGAGUACGAGCAAGCCUAGUAGCUUGUGCAUGUCGUUCUUGGGCAGCAUCCCUAUGCACUUCCUCUAUCUUCUUAGGCCCUUCAACUUUUCUCCUUUGCUGCCAUUUGUUUUUUCUUAGAUCAAUUGAAUCCUUCAACAUAAACCUCACCCUAGAAGAAAGUUUCAUGUUAUUUGAUAACUUUUCCAUCCUAUCGAAGUAUACAUCCAUAUGUUCCUUUGCUUUGGCAUGAUCUAUCAUCUCCCCAAUUGUACUCAUCAACUUACACAAAGCUUCAAUAUUCUCCUCGUCAAGGUUAUGAUAGUCACCUAACAACUUCUUGAUGCACUCGUGCAUAAUUCUCUCUGUCAACAUUCUCUUCUUAUAAAGUUCUCCGAUCAGUCUGAUAUUCCCCAACAUUCGUCGCCGUGCUUUGACUCUUUUUUCCUCCCUCUCCUCUGCCGACAGUUUUACUUCGCCUUCCUCGUUAGUCACAUUAGCUUCUUGUUCUUCUCUUUCUCCUCUUUCAAACUCUACCUGACAUUUGUUCAGAAGUAACCUCUUAAAAGUGAUUUUUUCAUUGUCUACGCUCAGAUCAGGCAACUCUGCCGCUAGGUGCUGACAGAAGUUGGCAUACAUCUCACAAAAAGUUGGUUCCAUCAAAGCUUUAUCAAAUAUCUGAGAAAUUACACCAUUGAGCGUCACAUCAUUGUCAAUAUUGACUUCUUUGACUUGCUGGAAUAAUUUUUCGAAGUUUUGGGGAGUUAGCUUAUUUAAGAUAGCUUUCAGCUGUCUCUGUUUGGCUUGUUCCUCGUCUGUUAUUUUACCUACUUCAUACUUUCUUUCAGCUUUGUGCAUAAUCUUUGCUGGUGUCUGAGGAGAAGGCAUUAAACCCUUUUGGAAAGCAGUUCCACGCUGCCACCUGUCAGCAUCAACCCCAUUUCUCUGGACUCCUCCAUGAGGACCCAUAGAUUGCAUUGGUCCAGGCAGUAUACCCCCGGCAAACUGAGCAAUAGGCAUCGGCGCUCGAGGGUGUCUCGAAACACCACAAUUGCCACCUGGGCCAGGUCGAAAUCCCAUAACGUUUCCCCCAUAAACAAGGUCCGGCUGUAUAUCUCGCCCAGGCAUAAGAGGCCCAGACAUCUUACUCCAUUUAUCUCCAUCCCCAAUGCCACCUCCGCGGCGUUCACGAAGUCCACUAGAUGGCCUAUCGAGAGCUCUUCCAGGACUAGGGCAAGGCUCACGGAAAACACUGAUUUUCGCAUUUAUCAAAAUAUCAGCUAUAUCAGAAGGAACUUGGAAACCCUCAGGAAUAUCAAUACAUUGUUCUGCAAAUUUAAGUAAGAAAUCUCUUGAAUAUUUCUUGGUUGUCAUACCAUCACCAUCUUCACCAUCAACUUGCUUCCCGUGCUCUGGAGCAGCUUCUAGUUUAGGAGUAGAUAUAUCUGCGGCAUCCUCCCAAUCAUCAGGCUCUGUUUUAACUUCACCAACCUUCUUAGUUGAUGUAAGAUCUUCCUGAGGCGCAUCAUCAGAUAGAGGCUUCGAGUUAUUCUUAGAAGUGAUUUCGCCGGCUUCCACAGAUGGAGCAAGUUCAUCUUUUUUCUCUGGACCCUUAUAAGCCAUAUAGAGAUCAGAAGUCGCGCCAGCAGCAUCUGCUUUCUUGUACAAGUCUUUCUUUUUCAUCUUUCCCCUAGCCGCAGUAACCUUAGGCACAUUGGAAUCCACCAGAGAUUUCUCCUUGACACCAGACGACGACUUAGCUACACCGGAAUUAUCAGCUUCAGUAUUUUCAUCUUCACACUUCGAAGUGGCCUCAUCAGAAUUCUUAACCAAAUUAGAGGCAGAUUCCUGACUUACUACAGCCGAUUCUGUCACAGCAGCUUCUUCGGGGUCUGCAAUAUCUGAUGCCUGAUCAUCUUGAGCUGAUAGACCUAUUGCUGAUGUGCAAGCCUCAGUAUCUGUAAAAUUCUGAUUACAAGUGGAUGAUGUUAUGCUAUCAGCCAUGCUAUCAACUCCAGUUGAGCCGGCAGAUGCAUUUGUAUCUUCCUCUCCAGUUUCUGGCUGACCGCUCUCAAUGUUGGCAUUUGUUGCUUUCUCAGGAGAUCCCUCUUCGGUCAGGCCAGACACCUCAACAGAUUUUACCAGAAGAGAUCCAGAAGACGGCUUCGAGAUAUUAUUCUCACCCUGUUCACCAACCUCCGGCAAUGUUACUUCAUAUCUAUCCCCAGUUUUAGGUACUGGCAUACCUGCAACCAGAUUUCUGGAAUCCAAAAGUUCGGGCGAAACUUCUUUUCCACUAUCUCCAGUAAUGCAGCUUUUCAAUACAACGGACUCUGAAGGAGAAAGAUUUUCCCUACUGUUUCCCAGUGCAGCAGGGCCCAAUGAAGCAGCAGUCUUGACCUCAACGUGUCCAGUUAGUGGAUACUGGGAUGGGGGACUUGAAACUGAGGUAGAUUUCCCAAGAGCCUGCAAAACUUUCAGUCAUAAGUAGUAUCGAGGCAUCGAGCUAGUAUAGUACAUUCAAAAAAGUAUGCAAAUCAAAUACUUUAUCCUGCAUAGUCACCUGUCCUCUUAUUGCUUGUUUUUUCUGUUGAUCUUCAGUGGGUUCCAGGACGCCAAGUGUUUCAGUUGUUGCAUCUACACUACUAUCUGUAAUUACAGAUACUGAAGGCUCACUGGGAGCCUGAGAGGUCAAUGACGAUACACCAGCUGCUGGGCUCUGCUCUGAGAUAGAAUCAGCCACUUUAAUAGAUUGUAUGUUUGCUACAGGCCUUGAUGCAGAUUUUGAAGCAUUGCCAAUCUUUGACUGUGCGGAGGAGCUCUGAUGUAAAGUGUCCAUGUCUUUUUGAGGGUGAGCUGAAUCUCCUCCAGGAGGCUUCGAAAGUCUCACUUGAUCUUUUCCAAAAGCAGCUGAACUGACAGAUGGUAAAUGCUCUUUUUCUGGAUGUAUUCUAGCAGCCGGUUUCACUGUCACCUAAAGUUGAUUUGCAUGAACAAGAUAACAUUAUAUUGUGGGCACAUACGAAGUUCAAUUGUAAGCCAAAGAAAAAUUAAGAUAGAAAAGUCCACACAGGACUUGAGCUUUGACUAACCUGACUAAAAAGCCUUGGUGGCUGAGAACUCUGAGGGUUAUUGAGAGGGAGAGAACUUGGAGCUUGAAAGUAAACAGAACUGGAAUUAUAAGAAUUAGGAUAAUAGUUAAUAGGAUGACCAGGAGGAAAUGAUGCAAUAGGCUGUGAUUGAGGUGGCAUAUUAGGAUGUGACAUCGAACCAGGAGUCCCAUCAAGCCUCAAUUCUUCAUGAGUGUCUGGAUGAGUAAUCUUCACAGUUUUACGUGCACCUAGAUACUUUCCUGCCUGCUGUUGAGGAAACUGCGACGGCAUAUUCAUUCCCAUGUUCCCCAACUGCGGAGGUAGUUGAGGUCCCAUUCCUGAUGAAAAACUCAGUCCCUGCCCCUGAUGCAUCAUCCCUUGAGACUGCAUUGGGUGGGGUUGAAGACCUGAGACAAACAUUGGCUGCUGCAUAGACGGAGUGCCAAUCGGCAGAUGCAUCGGCAUUGGCAAUGAUGUAGCAGACAUGGAAUGAGACGGAAUUUGUGGCCCGGGGCCACCAAAUUGAACAGGAACUUGUGGUGGCUGGUGAAAUGGAAUUUGCAUGUGCAUUCCGGGCAUGGGAUGUGCAGACGGCUUUUGAGUUUGGGUCACUGCGGGUGGAGCUGAAACUUGUACAUCUCUUUUGGGUUUGGCGGCCACACCAUGAGACUCGCCAGGAUUAGACUGGUUCUGGGGUCCUGCAUCCUUUCUUGGCAUUGGCUGGUUGGACGU
rnacentral:lncRNA from 1 species